GAUGAAGAACGUAGCGAAAUGCGAUAAGUAAUGUGAAUUGCAGAAUUCAGUGAAUCAUCGAAUCUUUGAACGCACCUUGCACCCUUUGGAAUUCCAAAGGGUAUGCUCGUUUGAGUGUCAUUGUACUCUCACACUCUCCGAUCCUUUGGAUUUGGGGAGCGGUGGACUUGGGUGUUUGCUGCUUUCAUUGUGGCUCACCUCAAAUGGAUUCGUGCAACUCCUGGUUGGACAUAGUACGGCGUGAUAAGUGUCUUCGCCGGCACCUCACUAGAGGGUGGCUGACCGGGAGCUCUGUGCUUCAAACCGUCUUCGGACAACAACUGACAACUUGACCUCAAAUCGAGUAGGACCACCCGCUGAACUUAAGCAUAUCAAUAAGCGGAGGA
rnacentral:misc_RNA from 1 species